AGUGUCUGGAUUCGGCUGGCAUCACACCACUGACGUCGGCAUCAAGGAUGCGCGCAGGCUAAUCACCAUUGUCGACCGCAAGAAAGACAUGAUCGUCAGUGGAGGGUUCAACGUCUUUCCGAGCGAGAUCGAAGCGGUGAUCAACACUCAUCCUGCUGUUUUGGACUGCGCCGUUGUCGGCGUGCCCGACGAGAAAUGGGGUGAGGCGGUGAUUAGAUAGUUGGCGGGGUAACGGCCCACCAAGUCUACGAUCAGUAGCUGAUGUGAGAGCAUGAUCAGCCACACGGGCACUGAGACACGGGCCCGACUCCUACGGGAGGCAGCAGUAAGGAAUAUUGGACAAUGGACGCAAGUCUGAUCCAGCCAUGCCGCGUGAAGGAUUAAGGUCCUCUGGAUUGUAAACUUCUUUUAUAAGGGACGAAAAAAGGCUUUUCUAAGUCGUCUGACGGUACCUUAUGAAUAAGCACCGGCUAACUCCGUGCCAGCAGCCGCGGUAAUACGGAGGGUGCAAGCGUUAUCCGGAUUCACUGGGUUUAAAGGGUGCGUAGGCGGGCAGGUAAGUCAGUGGUGAAAUCCUAGAGCUUAACUCUAGAACUGCCAUUGAUACUAUCUGUCUUGAAUAUUGUGGAGGUAAGCGGAAUAUGUCAUGUAGCGGUGAAAUGCUUAGAUAUGACAUAGAACACCUAUUGCGAAGGCAGCUUACUACGCAUAUAUUGACGCUGAGGCACGAAAGCGUGGGGAUCAAACAGGAUUAGAUACCCUGGUAGUCCACGCCCUAAACGAUGGAUACUCGACAUACGCGAUACACUGUGUGUGUCUGAGCGAAAGCAUUAAGUAUCCCACCUGGGAAGUACGACCGCAAGGUUGAAACUCAAAGGAAUUGGCGGGGGUCCGCACAAGCGGUGGAGCAUGUGGUUUAAUUCAUGGUCGGGCUUUCAGUGGGUUUUACGGGCGGUCACGUUCAUACGUGUAACCGGGUCGCCUGUGCUGGUGUGGCGGCGGAUCAGCUGCGGGCUUGGUUUAAAGCGUUCGGCGAUAGUGCGCCAAUCUGUAGUUG
rnacentral:rRNA from 1 species